CGCUACGUAAGCGUGCAAGUGUGAGCGGAAGAUGGGAGCUGGAUCCGGGAUGCGUAAGGCGGAAGGGUGAGUAACACGUGGGUAACCUGCCUGUAAGACUGGGAUAACUCCGGGAAACCGGGGCUAAUACCGGAUGGUUGUCUGAACCGC
rnacentral:rRNA from 1 species